CGCACGAGAAGGGAGCAAUCCUAAGUAAAGUGGCGCACGGGUGAGUAACACGUGGAUCAUCUACCUUUUAGUGGGGAAUACCUCUGGGAAACCGGAGACAAUACCGCAUAAGCCCGCAAGGGGAAAGCAGCAAUGCGCUGAAAGAGGAGUCCGCGGCCGAUUAGCUAGUUGGCGGGGUAACGGCCCACCAAGGCGAAGAUCGGUAGCCGGCCUGAGAGGGCACACGGCCACACUGGCACUGAAACACGGGCCAGACUCCUACGGGAGGCAGCAGUGGGGAAUCUUGCACAAUGGGCGAAAGCCUGAUGCAGCGACGCCGCGUGAGCGAUGAAGCCCUUCGGGGUGUAAAGCUCUUUCGACGGGAACGAUAAUGACGGUACCCGGAGAAGAAGCUGCGGCUAACUACGUGCCAGCAGCCGCGGUAAUACGUAGGCAGCGAGCGUUGUUCGGAAUUACUGGGCGUAAAGAGUGUGUAGGCGGUGUUCCCAGUCUGUUGUGAAAUCUCCCGGCUUAACUGGGAGGGUGCAGCGGAAACUAGAAUGCUAGAGGGUGGGAGAGGUAAGCGGAAUUCCUGGUGUAGCGGUGAAAUGCGUAGAUAUCAGGAGGAACACCUGUGGUGUAGACAGCUUACUGGACCACUUCUGACGCUGAGACACGAAAGCGUGGGUAGCAAACAGGAUUAGAUACCCUGGUAGUCCACGCCCUAAACGAUGCAUACUUGGUGUGAGCGAUUCAUUU
rnacentral:rRNA from 1 species